rnacentral:rRNA from 1 species
AAAUUGAAGAGUUUGAUCAUGGCUCAGAUUGAACGCUGGCGGCAGGCCUAACACAUGCAAGUCGAACGGUAACAGGAAACAGCUUGCUGUUUCGCUGACGAGUGGCGGACGGGUGAGUAAUGUCUGGGAAACUGCCUGAUGGAGGGGGAUAACUACUGGAAACGGUAGCUAAUACCGCAUAAUGUCGCAAGACCAAAGAGGGGGACCUUCGGGCCUCUUGCCAUCGGAUGUGCCCAGAUGGGAUUAGCUAGUAGGUGGGGUAACGGCUCACCUAGGCGACGAUCCCUAGCUGGUCUGAGAGGAUGACCAGCCACACUGG